AGAAAAUAUCAAACUGAAAAAUAAAAUUCUCUAGAAAUGGCUUCUCGAUUCUGUCAUCCUUUUCUCUUCAGUGUUUUGUUGGUUGCUCUGGUUCUGACAGCAGGAGAAGCAACAGCAGAACCAAAAUUUGGAUUCCUGAAUCAUUGCAUCGGCCUUUGUUCUGGUGGAUUACCACAAUGCAAGAGCGAUUGCGCAAAAAUGGGCUUUAAGGAUGCUCUCUGUAUCGAUAAAAUAAAU
rnacentral:sRNA from 1 species